AGGCUACCACUAUCGCGCUACAUCAUAUUGACACUAUAUCUGUCGGUGUACGUCUAUAAUUAUAAUAUUAUGACUAUAUGUAGUAUGAAAAUAGGUCACCUUAUAGGGAGAUAUACUAUAAUGCUUAUACGUUUAAUUUUAUACACAGGUUAAUAGAUGACCCGGUGCCCGCAGAUGAUACCUCGAUCGUGCAUAGAGCUCACGCGUUCCAGAAGGUAGUCGAUGAUACACAACGGAAAGGUGUGAUUUACAACAAGAAAGCAUUAACGAAGGAUUUUUCAAACGGGAUAUCCGUGUGGGGAAGUAUCGCCAUGUCAUUUUUGCCACAGAGUAUCAUUGAAUUUGUUAUAUUUAUGAAAUUGUUAUGUAUUGAAUAAAAUGAUUUACUUUGUUGUUUAUUUAUGAACGGGUCCGCUCUAGCGUGGAGAUGUUCCGAAAACCAGGGGGAAAUGAUGUUAAAGCGAAUGUGUCCCGAAAGUAAACUAUGUCGUGUGGACUACUUAACCAACGUAUUUCUACAACCCGAAAUUACACUAAUCGUGUGGACGACUCCACUAACGGGUGUGGACGACUCCGCCAACGAGUGUGGACAACUUCACCAGAUUUUUCGUGUGGACGACUUUGCUUGUGGACGACUUGACUGAUAUUCCUCUUGCCGUGCCUUCGGUCCUGCACCUGCUUCUUUUUUUUCUUUUGAACAUACAAUUAUUCCGGUGGGUGCAUGGGUAUUUUGUUUAUACGACACAGUAUGAAAGUGCCAUUUAACGAAAACGAAAGAUGACUAAGAUGCCAAGUUAUGGCAACUUCAAAGUAAAUAGCACGGUCUGCUUAGUCACAUAAUAGAGUAAUUAAUUUAGAAGCUUCACACAGAACGAUAAUUUGCCUUACACCAGAGAAUUUAGUAAGGCAGAGUUGGGUGAAGCUUGGUGAUUUUAUUUAUAUUUUCUUUUCUUUUUGUAUAGAAUUGGUAUAUCAGAUGGUUGGAGAUGUUGUUGAUAUAGGGAUGCAUUCUGUUGGACCAUAUGAUCCAGAGAUAGUGUUGGACAUUGAUAUAAAUUAUGCCAAAUUUAUAUGAUGUAGGUGUUUGUUUUUUUUCGGUUGUACAUUCUUACUAUCAAUGAGUGACCUGCAGUACAAGUGCAGACUUUUUCUUUAAUCGAUAGGUUGAAAUGAGUCAUUUGAUGGUUUACGAACACCAACAUGGAGGAUUUCGGUUUUACCUAAAUUUAGUUCAGAACUAGAUACGGAGCCAAAAUUUAUACGAAAAUGGGUACAGAAAAUCUGCAGACGCCUGCAAGAAUCGCAUAAAGAAUAUGAAGCAUUCUUAUAAAAAAAAUAAAGGACCACAACAAUAAAAGUGGGAGUGGCAAGAAAACUAGCAAGUUUUUUGACGCUAUGGAUAAAAUAUUAGGAACCAGACCCGCUACCCGUCCAACACAUAUUCUGGAGACAAGUAUUAAUUCAGAAACACAAGAUUUGGAUGAUUUUGAUGAUGAUGAUAAUGAUGAGGAACCAACAAGAGUCAAUUUGGAAAAUGAAGAAAAUGAGCCUACAGAAACCGUCCUCCGUAAGCAGCCAGAAAAAAAAGGACCAGAAAAGAAAAAAAGAAACAGAGAGGAUAUAAUUCAACGUGUUCUGAAUGAGACAACAACCAGCUUUAUAAAUUAUCAAAGAGAACAAGAAAGAUCAUAUUUUGAAUUCGAAGAAAAAAGAAUGAAAAUGGAGGCAGAUUCAUAGAGACUUAGAAAAGAGCAGAGACGGGAGGAUCGACUUAGAGCUGAGGAACAACGACGCGAGGAUAGGGAAAGAGAUAGGCAACAUGAAUUAAGAUUAUGGAGUUUGUUUGCCAAUCAGGGAUUUCAGCAGCAUCAAUUUUCUCAACAACAAAAUGGACAAUUUUUACAAGGAGCUAAUGGACACACAUAUACAAAUUUAUAAAACCAUAUUAUUUUCAAGACCUAUCAUUUUGUGCCAAAAGUUCUGCUAUGUAGAGCAUUUAUUUUCAUUGAUAACAGUUAAUUUUUGUUUGUAGAAAUACAUAGUUUUAUUUAUCAUUCCAGUGUGCCAAGACUAGAGUUUUAAUAAAUUAAUUUCCAUGUUUUAAUUAUUAAUAUCCAUAUCAUUUAACUUAAUGUAUCAUGAAGCUGAAUCAUAUUAUUUUCAAGAUAUACCAUUUUGUGCCAAAAUAUCUGACAUGUAGCGCAAUUAUUGUCAUUGAUAACAGUUUAUUUUUGUUUCUACAAAUACAUGAAUUUUAUUUGUCAUUCCAUUUUACCAUGGCUCAAGUUUUAAUAAAUUUAUUUCCAUGUUUUAAUUAUUAAUAUCCAUAUCAUUAUCAAAUGUGUCAUGAAGCUGAUAUAUGUACUUGGUUGUGAAAGUUAACUGUAGUUGUAACACGUUUUAUGUGAUUUCAGUUUUUAUGAAUUUAAAUUACCAGUAUGAGAUUAAUUGUUUUAAUGGCAUUUAGCAAUUGAACUGGGAAUACACAGGACAAUCCUUGUUUAUAUCUAAAGCAAAGUUUUGACUUGGCUUCUUAUCGUUAUCAAAUAAUGCGAAACGGUAUGAGGUGGGUGUUUUCUUCUUUGUAAGUCAAUUGAUAAGCCCCUAAUAAGAACAAAACAGUCUGUUAUGUUUUCAAAAAUGGUAAAUUCUCUUUUAUUUAAUACAUUAAUUGAAAGACAUAAAUUAAAAAUUGAUCAAUAACUUUAUAGUGUAGGCUUGUACAGUGGACUCGGAAUAUUCCGAAUUAUUAGACCAAUCUGGGGACCCCCGUUAAACGAUUUCUGUUGAAUUAACAUUGGAUAAUCCGGCCUUCAAUCAGUGGGUGUUAACAGACAAGCAAUCAAUUAUCGGUGAGCUUAAAGUAUGUGUCAGUCUUUGUUAAUAAAACCUUGAUAAUUUUAUAAUUUCUUGUAAGAGAGUGCUUGGUAUUUCAUUUGAUUUUUUCACGUCAAAUACAGCAACAUUAAAUAUAAAUUGCUGAGAUGAAGAAUCACUAUCAUAAUAAUAUUUUGUUCAUAACGACGCACAAGUGUUUUGUACGCACCCAAAGUAAAAACAUAAUAAUUUUAUAUAAUAAAGUUUCAAAUGUACAGAAAGGUUUAUCAUAUUUUUAAGUUCUGGGUAUUCGAAGGUGGAUUAAAAUAAUACUUUGGUAUUCGAGGUACAAUAAUACUUGCGGUUUUGAGACAAUUAAGUAUUCCGUCAUGGUGUAUAAUCCGGCAUUGUAUCGGUCCUGUACAAUGUUGAAAGUGAAAGAGUCCACUGUAUAUUUUUAAUUACAUACACUUCUUCAAUGAUGGACAACAAAGAUGACAAUUGGACCUCUUAUUAUAUAAUCCAACUCUGGCUUAAUGAGAUGCAUGGAUCAAAAAUCAAGAUGCCAAAAGGUGUCAAUUUAAAUUCUGUAUCCAAAUACCUUUAAAUUAGUAUGUGACUUAGAAAUAUGCUUGGAAUAUUUAAAUUUGAAUGUACCAUAAUAUUACUUUUAAGAAAGAAGAUAUUGAAAAUUUUGGAAACAAAUUGAACUCCAUAGCAACCAUUUGGCCAGAGCUGAUCACAUAUAUAGUUAUAAUAGACCCACUGUGUUAUAAGAUUAUCAGUUAUUUUUCUGUUGUAUGAUUUUUAUUAUGAAAAUAAACCAAUUUAGUUUGA